AGUUUGUGUGUUCCCAUAAGAAAGAAAAACUAAAAAUGAGUAGUGGUUGGAAUUGGAAGGGUUUUAGGGUGGUAAGUUUCCUAUUCUUCCUCAUCAUCAUCUCCUCGGAGGUGGCUACAGCAAGGGACCUGAAUCUCGCCCGCAAAAAUGCAGUGGCCAUACAUGAAGAUGAAGGCAGCCUCAGUUCCUCACACUUUGGCUUUACCAGCCCCAGCACACGAAGCCGCUCGAGGCCCGUUUGCAAUCGUCCGGGCAGUUAUAAGUGCCUUGGUCCAAAUCCAAUUCCACGGCCUGAACCCUGCAACCGAUAUUCGCGGUGGAGCUGCCCCCCACCGCAAAUUAAACCCCCGAACUGAACCGAAUCGAAUUAAAUCGUCCCCUAAAACCUGUCAAGAAUCCAUAUAUAUGAAUUAAAUUUACCUAAUCUUUUGGUUGAGUGGUGGUUUAUUCAUCUCUAAGAUGAUAUCAAAACGGGAGACCUGAGUUCAAACCCUUACCGAACGUGUCAUUACCUUUCUUAUCCCUCCUCUGUAUCUUCUUUUUACUUUCUUCCUAAUGAGCUUAUUUCAGUUUGCGUCGUUUUUUCUCUUUUGUGUCAUUUGGGAAGUUGUUCAGAACUACUGCAUGUAAUAAAAGGAAGAUAUAUAAAGGGUUUUUCGCUAUGUA